AUUUUCAGGUCCUGCUGUCACCAAACUGCCACCUGACCUUUCUACAACUCCCACAGAUAUGACUACAAAGGAAACAAGAGAUCUUUCUACAACCUCCAUGGAUCUGACUACGCAGGGAAUAAGAGAAAAAUCUCUGAGACUGGUGAAUGGAGAA